UCUGGUCACUCUUUUCUUCCCU
rnacentral:miRNA from 1 species